CGUUAUUUAGGUCGCAGGUUGAUGACAUCACCAGUCUAUAUAAAAAGGCAGGAUAUUAGAAGGAUUUGUUCAAUCUGAAAUGACACCCUCUAUAGGGCUGUACGUUGGACCAGGAGAGCACCAUGAAAGGGGACGUUAUUUAGGUCGCAGGUUGAUGACAUCACCAGUCUAUAUAAAAAGGCAGGAUAUUAGAAGGAUUUGUUCAAUCUGAAAUGACACCCUUUAUAGGGCUGUACGUUGGACCAGGAGAGCACCAUGAAAGGGGACGUUAUUUAGGUCGCAGGUUGAUGACAUCACCAGUCUAUAUAAAAAGGCAGGAUAUUAGAAGGAUUUGUUCAAUCUGAAAUGACACCCUCUAUAGGGCCGUACGUUGGACCAGGAGAGCACCAUGAAAGGGGACGUUAUUUAGGACAUUAUUUCUGUCUGUAUAAAAUCGGAACCAGUGAUUUGCCAGUUACAACAGGAAAUGAGAGGCAGUAUUAAUGUGAUUGGUCAGUUAUAACAGGAAACAAGACAGUAUUAACGUGAUUGGCCAGUUACAACAGGAAAUGAGACAGUAUUAAUGUGAUUGGCCAGUUAUAACAGGAAAUGAGGCAGUAUUAAUGUGAUUGGUCAGUUACAACAGGAAAUAAAACCGGCAGCAUCAAAACGUAUUGAUUAUCAAUGAUUGUCCUCGUAGAGGAAGAAUGGUAGAUAGGGAGGAGGGGGGUUGAUGCUGA
ensembl:lncRNA